CUUUUUUAUCUUUUUCCUUUUUCUUCCCUCUUCCCUCUUCCUCCUCACACAAACCUAGCAGCCGCUCACUCUCCCUACUGACCUUGACCGCCGACCUUCUCAGCCCGUCGUCCAGACGCCGCUAGUCCGACUCUAGUCGCUCGCCGCCGAGGUUUUUGCCCUAGCCGACUACUCUUCGUCGCGUUCUGCUGCCAUCGCUGCCCAGUCGACGCCGCACCGUUCGUCGAGGCCUGACCGCGUGCGAACCCCCCCGACGGCCGUUGCUUCCAGACGCAUCAGCAGUUGUUCCGACACUUUGCUACCCGCAUCGUCGUUCAGAUCUACUCUGUGCUGUUCCGGUUCGCCCUUCCAGUCGUUGUUCGCCGGCGUAGCAGCUGCUAUCUGUCAGGUUCAUCCUCUUCUGCCACCAUUUCGUGGGGUUUUCGCCAAAAGCUUGGAAUCUAGGCUUGGAUUGAACUUUCAAGGUGUCGGGAACCACUGCCCAGUACGAUUAGAGUUGGAAUAGAUUUCUGGAUCAGCACAUAGUUUGGGAUGUGAUUCAAGAAUUUUACUAAGUUAAAGGAGGGUGUGAAUUACUUUUUGUUAGAUUUAAUUGCGAGGUAAGGGUAGAGAUGCACUGGCAAUCGACAAACAGAAUUCGUGAUCGAGACACUAGGACUAGU